rnacentral:rRNA from 1 species
UUUCGCAAUGCCCGAAAGGGUGACGAAGCGACGCCGCGUGGGUGAGGAAGGCCUUCGGGUUGUAAAGCCCUGUCAGGAGUUAAGAAAUGUAAGUGCGCUAAUAUCGCAUUUAUUUGACGAAGGCUCCAAAGGAAGCCACGGCUAACUCUGUGCCAGCAGCCGCGGUAAUACAGAGGUGGCAAGCGUUGUUCGGAAUUAUUGGGCGUAAAGAGCACGUAGGUGGGUUUGUAAGUCAGAUGUGAAAGCCUUCUGUUCAACGGAAGAAUUGCAUCUGAAACUGCGAGUCUUGAGUGUAGGAGGGGAGAAUGGAACUUCUGGUGGAGCGGUGAAAUGCGUAGAUAUCAGAAGGAACGCCGGCGGCGAAAGCGAUUCUCUGGCCUAUUACUGACACUCAGUGUGCGAAAGCUAGGGGAGCAAACGGGAUUAGAUACCCCGGUAGUCCUAGCCGUAAACGAUGGGCACUAAGUAGAGGGGUUUUA